AGAUUGAACGCUGGCGGCAGGCCUAACACAUGCAAGUCGAGCGCGAAAGUUCCUUCGGGAAUGAGUAGAGCGGCGGACGGGUGAGUAACGCGUAGGAAUUUGCCCAGUAGUGGGGGACAACGUCGGGGAAACUCGAGCUAAUACCGCAUACGCCCCAAGGGGGAAAGCAGGGGAUCUUCGGACCUUGCGCUAUUGGAUAAGCCUGCGUCGGAUUAGCUAGUUGGUGGGGUAAGGCCUACCAAGGCAACGGAUCCCGUAGCCUGGUACUGAGAGGAUGAUCAGCCACAUUGGGACUGACGACACGGCCCAAAGUCCUACGGGAGGCAGCUAGGUCGGGGAAUAGUUAGGACAAGUGGGACG
rnacentral:rRNA from 1 species